GCAGUUGUGCUCUUAGGUUAAUGAAAAUGUAAUUUAUUAAACAAUCAUCACUCCUGCUCCUACCCUAAAAGCUGCAGUUCUGGCUGAGGGAGAAUUCCCUAGGUACAGGCAGUGAGGAUGACAGCCAUAAAGACUGACUUCUGAGGACGCCCUCCCAAGACUGAUGUGCAGGAGAGACUGGAAUUGUUGGGACUGCAUGUGUAUCCACCAGGGGAGUAUAUGCUCUGGGUAGAAAAGCUGGCCCAUUCCAAGGGACAACAACGUUGCCAAGGCACAUUUGAUAACAGUGAGGAUUUGCCUCCACAUCCUUGGCUAACGUUACUUCUCCUGUCCCUCUGCAGCGUGUUUCCGACCGUCUCCAUGGCUGCUACUCUCCACUGCAGAGCGGGUACAUUUCAGUGACACUUUAGUUCAUAACAUCCUUCGGAAUCCUUUGGCUGACAGGAACUAUAUAUAGUUGGAUACUUGAGUCCCUAGGAACAUAACUGUAGAGAUGAAGAGAGAUUCUUUUACACUAAUAGAAGAACUUGAACUCCCAGGUACUGGCAGUCCUUGACCUCAGAGCAGUUUGAGGAAUAAUGUAUUCCUGCUGUUACAUUUGAGGGAAGCAGUUUGUGGGGCUUAGUGUAGAAAAGGGAGUUGCUGAAGAAUUAUAGAUUAAAGAGCUGAUAUCUGCAUUAAUAAUCUGUGCUGAUUCCAUGCUCUGCAGGAGAGAAUGCCAACACAAGUUUGCCAACUUAACAAGUUCAGAUAAGAUUUGGAAAAAGCUUUGAUCCUUUGGGUGCUUAUCUGAACCAAGCUGCUACACCACUGGAGGUUUGCCCGGGAGUAUUGAAUAUGCACCUGCAAUUGAAAUCACAGCUGGACAUCUAUGGGAAUGCCUCUGCCUUUCACAUCUGGAUGUCAGCUGUUCCAACCUCUAUCUUACUGCCAGGUCUCCUGAACUCUAGAAAACUUCCAUUCUGGCAGUUAAUAGCAUGAAGCGUUCCUCCUGAAAGAUAGGGUUCUUCAAAUGGACUUCAGCUUUUGCCUGCCAUGCCCUUGUUUGUGCCUUACU